rnacentral:ribozyme from 1 species
AUAGCAACAUAUGGCCACAGUAGAAGCGCUCAUGUCAUGGCCCUGUCACAUUCUAACAAAUCUGCAAAUUCUGCU